CCUACGGGAGGCAGCAGUCGAGAAUCAUUCACAAUGGGGGAAACCCUGAUGGUGCGACGCCGCGUGGGGGAAUGAAGGUCUUCGGAUUGUAAACCCCUGUCAUGUGGGAGCAAAUUAAAAAGAUAGUACCACAAGAGGAAGAGACGGCUAACUCUGUGCCAGCAGCCGCGGUAAUACAGAGGUCUCAAGCGUUGUUCGGAAUCAUUGGGCGUAAGGCGUGCGUAGGCUGUUUCGUAAGUCGUGUGUGAAAGGCGCGGGCUCAACCCGCGGACGGCACAUGAUACUGCGAGACUAGAGUAAUGGAGGGGGAACCGGAAUGCUCGGUGUAGCAGUGAAAUGCGUAGAUAUCGAGAGGAACACUCGUGGCGAAGGCGGGUUCCUGGACAUUAACUGACGCUGAGGCACGAAGGCCAGGGGAGCGAAAGGGAUUAGAUACCCCAGUAGUC
rnacentral:rRNA from 1 species